UAGUAUUAGAUAUAAUCUUGAAACUUAAAAAAUUUGGCGGUAUUUUAAUCUUUUCAGAGGAACCUGUUCUGUAAUCGAUAUUCCACGUUUAAUUUUACUAAAUUAUUUGUAUAUCGUUGUCGAAAGAAUAAAUUUUCUAAUAUUAAAAUUUUAAUAGAUGUCAAAUCAAGGUGCAGUUAAUAAUUUAGAAGAAAUGGGUUACAAUAAAUUUAUUUAGGAAUUAUAUAAAGGUGGAUUUGAAAGUAAAUUAAUUUUAUUAAGAUUGAUUGAUUAUAGCUCUAAAAUAUGU
rnacentral:rRNA from 1 species